GGCCGUCUGGCGAAAUGGCAUCGCGUCUGACUACGAUUAAGUAAUUGGUAUCAGGAGAUUGUAGGUUCGACCCCUACGUCGGUCA
rfam:Sistotremastrum suecicum HHB10207 ss-3 unplaced genomic scaffold SISSTscaffold_176, whole genome shotgun sequence.